GUGAAAUGCGUAGAUAUCAGGAGGAACACCUGCGGUGUAGACGGCUUUCUGGACCAUGGCUGACGCUGAGACACGAAAGCGUGGGUAGCAAACAGGAUUAGAUACCCUGGUAGUCCACGCCCUAAACGAUGCAUACUUGGUGUCGGCCAUUCAGUUGGUCGGUGCCGGAGCUAACGCGUUAAGUAUGCCGCCUGGGGAGUACGGUCACAAGGCUGAAACUCAAAGGAAUUGACGGGGGCCCGCACAAGCGGUGGAGCAUGUGGUUUAAUUCGACGCAACGCGAAGAACCUUACCUGGGCUCGAAAUGCUGCUGACCGGAGGUGGAAACACUUCUUUUCCCGCAAGGGACAGUAGUAUAGGUGCUGCAUGGCUGUCGUCAGCUCGUGUCGUGAGAUGUUGGGUUAAGUCCCGCAACGAGCGCAACCCUUGUCCUGUGUUGCUAACCGAAAGGUGCACUCUCAGGAGACCGCCAGCGAUAAGCUGGAGGAAGGUGGGGAUGACGUCAAGUCAUCAUGGCCUUUAUGUCCAGGGCUACACACGUGCUACAAUGGGCGGUACAAAGCGCAGCGAACCCGCGAGGGGGAGCAAAUCGCAAAAAACCGCUCUCAGUUCGGAUUGCAGGCUGCAACUCGCCUGCAUGAAGCUGGAAUCGCUAGUAAUGGCAUAUCAGAACGAUGCCGUGAAUACGUUCCCGGGCCUUGUACACACCGCCCGUCACAUCACGAAAGUGGGUUGUACUAGAAGUCCUAAUCAAACAGGCCCAAGGUAUGACUCAUGAUUGGGGUGAAGUCGUAACAAGGUAACCGU
rnacentral:rRNA from 1 species